UUCCUUUCCCUCGCUUCUCUGUCCAGAAUACAACGAUUUGAAGACGGAACUGACCGACUAUCUCAGGAGAUUUGCAGACGAGGGAACGGUGGUUAAAAGAGAAGACAUUCAGCACUUCUUUGAAGAAUUUCAGUCACGGAAAAGGCAACGGACGAACAGGAUGCAGUACUACUGCAGUUAGACUGAGAGGGUGUUGGUCAGAAGGGAGAGCUGGGAAAACUACUCACUGGCAAACGGAAGAGACAUCUUCAGUAUUUGGCUUCUCAUCAAAAAUCCAACUUUCCAAGAAACACCUUCAUUCUGUGUCAUGCUUCCCUCACUUGUAGCGACUGACAGCCUUCCUACCAGGUACAUUGUGUUUAUAGGGAGCUCUGCUCCCCUGAAAGCUGCCCUUGUCUCGGGGGGUGGAUGGUUUGUUCACACUGAGGGGGUGUCGCUGUGCCUUCCCUUCAGCCUGUCCCCUGUGUCACCCUGCCGGGAGCUGCGCGGUGGCCUGGGCGGGCUCUGCCUGCCCCCCUGCCUCGCAGCGCAGGGAACAGGCGCUCCCUCUGCUCUCUGGGGCUGGAGAGAGCAGCUUUCCUGCUUUCUUUUUUCCUGCUUUUCUUUGUCUCUGCUUUCCCGCCUCCUGCGCCAUCACUUUGGGGGGCCGAGACCCCAGUGAAGGCUCCUGCACAGACACGUGUGUUUGCUGCAGGGCUACAGGCCGUGGCUGUGGGGUAGAACCCUAACACUGGGGUGGUAUCAGGGAACCGAACAGCAUGGGACUGCAGCUGAAAAAUGAGGAAUCAUAGGGUUCUGUUUUUGUAAAUU